rnacentral:misc_RNA from 1 species
CGGGAAGAAGUCGCGACUCAACGGCAACGGAAAGAACGGCCACUCGAAUGGCAAUGGCUCAUCGGCGCGCGCGACCGAGACGAACCGCAUCGCGGAUGUGAUCCGCAAGCCGCAGCAGGCCGAAGAACCGACGCGUUUGUUCUCCGG